rnacentral:tRNA from 1 species
GCUGUGGCUCAGUGGCAGAGCAGCUGCCUUGCAUGCAGAAGGCCCCAGGUUCAGUCCUCCGCAUCUCCC